GUAUUAUUUUAGACUUCAUAGGAUU
rnacentral:snRNA from 1 species